UGGUCCAUCGGGGCCUCGGAUACCUGCAUUUAUUCUU
rnacentral:ncRNA from 1 species